UACGAAGGUGGCUAGCGUUAUUCGGAAUUACUGGGCGUAAAGCGCGUUUAGGCGGUGCGAUCAGUCAGAGGUGAAAUCCCAGGGCUUAACCCUGGAAUUGCCUUUGAAACUAUCGUGCUGGAAUCGUACAGAGGAGUGUGGAAUUCUUAGUGUAGGAGUGAAAUCCGUAGAUAUUAAGAGGAACACCAGUGGCGAAGGCGGCACUCGGGGUACGUAGUGACGCUGAGACGCGAAAGCGUGGGGAGCAAACAGG
rnacentral:rRNA from 1 species